rnacentral:rRNA from 1 species
CCUACUGCUAUCGGGGUGGGACUAAAACAUGCAAGUCGAGCGUCUCCAAGCCAUGGUGGAGGCGCGGCGUACGGCUCAGUAACACGUGGCUAACCUGCCCUUAGGACGGGAACACCCCCGGGAAACUGGGGUUAAUUCCCGAUAGGUGAGGAGGCCUGGAAUGGUUCUUCGCUGAAAAGGCGUUAGAGGCAUGCUCUCUAAUGUUGCCUAAGGAUGGGGCCGCGACCGAUCAGGUUGUUGGUGAGGUAACGGCUCACCAAGCCUAUAACCGGUACGGGCCGUGAGAGCGGGAGCCCGGAGAUGGGCACUGAGAUAAGGGCCCAGGCCCUACGGGGCGCAGCAGUUGCGAAAACUCGCCAAUGCACGAAAGUGUGAGCGGGCUACCCCGAGUGCCGUCCGCUGAGGAUGGCUUUUCUCCGCUGUAAGGAGGCAGAGGAAUAAGGAGAGGGCAAGACUGGUGUCAGCCGCCGCGGUAAUACCAGCUCUCCGAGUGGUAGGGAUGAUUAUUGGGCUUAAAGCGUCCGUAGCCGGCCUGACAAGUCUUCCGUUAAAUCCAACGAUUCAAUCGUUGGACUGCGGGAGAUACUGUUAGGCUAGGGGACGGUAGAGGCCGACGGUAUUCUCGGGGUAGGGGUAAAAUCCUAUAAUCCCGGGAAGACCACCAGUGGCGAAGGCGGUCGGCUAGAACGCGCUCGACGGUGAGGGACGAAAGCUGGGGGAGCGAACCGGAUUAGAUACCCGGGUAGUCCCAGCUGUAAACGAUGCGGGCUAGGUGUUGGAGCGGCUACGGGCCGCUUCAGUGCCGCAGGGAAACCAUUAAGCCCGCCGCCUGGGGAGUACGGCCGCAAGGCUGAAACUUAA